rnacentral:rRNA from 1 species
UUAGGGUCGGGGAUAACGCACCGAAAGGUGUGCUAAUACCGGAUAAGACCACGAUGGCCACGGCUAUUGAGGUUAAAGGGGGCCUCUCCUUUGGAAGCUUCCGCCCUUUGUCGAGCUCGCGUCCCAUUAGCUUGUUGGUGAGGUAACGGCUCACCAAGGCCGCGAUGGGUAGCUGGUCUGAGAGGAUGAUCAGCCACACUGGGACUGGAACACGGCCCAGACUCCUACGGGAGGCAGCAGUGAGGAAUCUUGCGCAAUGGGGGAAACCCUGACGCAGCCACGCCGCGUGGGUGAAGAAGGCCUUCGGGUCGUAAAGCCCUGUCAGAUGGGAAGAACCGCAUAGGACUGAACAAGCCCUUUGCCUGACGGUACCAUCAAAGGAAGCACCGGCUAACUCCGUGCUAGCAGCCGCGGUAAUACGGAGGGUGCAAGCGUUGUCCGGAAUUACUGGGCGUAAAGCGUGUGUAGGCGGCUUGGUAAGUCAUAUGUGAAAUCCCUCGGCUUAACCGAGGAAGUGCAUCUGAUACUGCCUAGCUUGAGUCCUGGAGAGGGGUGUGGAAUUCCCGGUGUAGAGGUGAAAUUCGUAGAUAUCGGGAGGAACACCAGUGGCGAAGGCGACACCCUGGAUGGAGACUGACGCUGAGACACGAAAGCGUGGGUAGCAAACA